rnacentral:rRNA from 1 species
GUCCCUAUCUGCCGUGGGCGCUGGAGAAUUGAGGGGGGCUGCUCCUAGUACGAGAGGACCGGAGUGGACGCAUCACUGGUGUUCGGGUUGUCAUGCCAAUGGCACUGCCCGGUAGCUAAAUGCGGAAGAGAUAAGUGCUGAAAGCAUCUAAGCACGAAACUUGCCCCGAGAUGAGUUCUCCCUGAGACUUUAAGUCUCCUGAAGGAACGUUGAAGACGACGACGUUGAUAGGCCGGGUGUGUAAGCGCAGCGAUGCGUUGAGCUAACCGGUACUAAUGAACCGUGAGGCUUAACCUUACAACGCCGAAG